CCUACGGGAGGCAGCAGUGAGGAAUAUUGGUCAAUGGCCGUAAGGCUGAACCAGCCAAGUCGCGUGAAGGAAGAAGGAUCUAUGGUUUGUAAACUUCUUUUAUAGGGGAAUAAAGGUAUCCACGUGUGGAUAUUUGCAUGUACCCUAUGAAUAAGCAUCGGCUAACUCCGUGCCAGCAGCCGCGGUAAUACGGAGGAUGCGAGCGUUAUCCGGAUUUAUUGGGUUUAAAGGGUGCGCAGGCGGAUUUUUAAGUCAGCGGUCAAAUCGUGGGGCUCAACCCCAUCCAGCCGUUGAAACUGGGGAUCUAGAGUGUGCGAGAGGUAUGCGGAAUGCGUGGUGUAGCGGUGAAAUGCAUAGAUAUCACGCAGAACCCCGAUUGCGAAGGCAGCAUACCGGUGCACAACUGACGCUCAGGCACGAAAGCGUGGGUAUCGAACAGGAUUAGAUACCCCUGUAGUC
rnacentral:rRNA from 1 species